UGAACGGCCACGACGUCUAUACGUCGAUC
rnacentral:sRNA from 1 species